AUUGAACGCUGGCGGCAGGCCUAACACAUGCAAGUCGGACGGUAGCACAGAGGAGCUUGCUCCUCGGGUGACGAGUGGCGGACGGGUGAGUAAUGUCUGGGGAUCUGCCCGAUAGAGGGGGAUAACCACUGGAAACGGUGGCUAAUACCGCAUAACGUCGCAAGACCAAAGAGGGGGACCUUCGGGCCUCUCACUAUCGGAUGAACCCAGAUGGGAUUAGUUAGUAGGCGGGGUAAUGGCCCACCUAGGCGACGAUCCCUAGCUGGUCUGAGAGGAUGACCAGCCACACUGGAACUGAGGAACGGUCCAGACUCCUACGGGAGGCAGCAGUGGGGAAUAUUGCACAAUGGGCGCAAGCCUGAUGCAGCCAUGCCGCGUGUAUGAAGAAGGCCUUCAGGUUGUAAAGUACUUUCAGCGGGGAGGAAGGCGGUGCGGUUAAUAACCGCGCCGAUUGACGUUACCCGCAGAAGAAGCACCGGCUAACUCCGUGCCAGCAGCCGCGGUAACAC
rnacentral:rRNA from 1 species